AAUGCAAGCCGUUCUAUCGCUCUCCCGCAUUUGCGGGUGAGAGGAAAGUCCGGGCAACACAGAGCAUCCUGCUUCCUAACGGGAAGGCAUCGCGCAAGCGGUGACGGACAGUGCCACAGAAAACAAACUACCCCCAAACUUCGGUUUGAGGGAAAAGGUGAAAACGUGAGGUAAGAGCUCACGGUUCUGUAUGGUGACAUGCAGUGCGGUAAACCCCAGGAGUUGAAAGACCAAAUAGGUUCCGGAAGUGAAGCUGCUCGCUUCCUUAUGCCGCAAGUGCGGCAUUAUCCGGGAUGGGUAGGUCGUUAGAUCACGUAAGCAAUUGCGCGACCAGAUAAAUGAUAGAAGUCCCGCAUAUGCGGGAUACAGAACCCGGCUUACAGGCUUGCAUUUUUU
rnacentral:RNase_P_RNA from 1 species